rnacentral:lncRNA from 1 species
UUUGAAGGAAAGUCCUAGAUUUGCAUUAAACUGUGACAUGAGUGAGAAAGACAAUUUUGUGUGAAGGCACUGAGAUAUUCUGGUUAUUUUUUAACACAAUCAAAAUUAAGUACCCUGAAAUAUAUAAGAAGUAAAUGCUAAUUCAUAAAGUAAAAAUCUUAAGUGCCGUAGAAGUUUAAAGAAGAUGGAGAUCUGUUAACAUCUCAACAUUAUGAACUCGAAUACUCCAUAGAGACUUAGUUUCUCACACUCUGUUUUUAAAUGAGUUGCAGUAGUCAAGAGGAAAACAUAUGGAAGAGAAAGAAAUCAAGCUGGACUUUGGAGGUGGAUGGUUGAUGAAGGAAAUCAUUGCUCAUUCCUGCACACUGAACCGUGAAAAACAAGUAUAGCUCUCCUGCCACUGGAUGACACAGCAAGGAGGCCUUUACCAGAUCCCAGCACUUUCGUCUUGGAUUUCCCAGCCCCUAGAACGCACUUCUUGCUGCCACUGUGUGAAGAAGGAUGUGUUUGCUUCCCCUUCCACCAUGAGUGUUAAGUUUCCUGAGGCCUCCCCAGCCAUGCUGAACUCCACUGUUUUUAGAAACUUAUUUCCUUAGUGCCUCAACCAUGGUGAAGUUCUGGAUGCUGCAUUGAGGAGCUUCCAGAUAUUCUCAUGCAUUGUGAGUGAUUUGUCUCCUUUCUUGAUUUACCUUCUCCCUUGCUAUUGUUUCUAAUGAUGUGGUUUCAUCAUACAGUGAGUGAGUUUAACAUUUGCCACUGUGUCAUUGAAGCCACAUUCAUUAUGUCAUCACCAUCAACUCAAUUCAUCUUUUCUCCCCUGACAGCCUACAGUAAUGGAUCCCAGCCUGCCUACUUAGUAGUUGGAAGAAACCUACAGCAUUAAUUCAAGAUAACUUGCUUGCUAUUUGGUCAGGUAGCUAAUGUGUUCAUAAAACACAAAUGUCCAUUAAAAUAAUCACUUAUGGAAAAUAGUCCAUUAUAAUUAUGUAUGUAUGUCAAUCAAUAAACAUGUUUUUAAAAGCUAAUUUAAUUGGAAAUCAGUAGGACAAGGCCUAUUAUUGGCAGCUCAAAUAGAGUGGCUUUGAGGUCUAAGUCCUUGCAACAGCCCUAGUUUCACAACACUUUUAUUGUACUAAUCUAGCAGUCCGACUCUGAAAACCUGAGACAAGUUCCGUGGGGGGGAUGGAGAGGAAAGGGGAAAGAAAACUGAAAGCAAUAUAAUUUUCUGUACCUAUUUGAAACAAUACUGAGAGCAAAGCAAAUUUAACUCAGCUACUUGCUCCAGAAACUACUUGUUUCUUAAAGAUAAGACUGAACCAACUAAACAGGUUACUUAUAAAGACUAAUAGCUUGUUUAUAAUGAAUAGCUUCAAGACUCUGGCUUCUCUGAGCCCAUUUGUCUAAAUCUAUUCUCUAAUAAACUCUCUUCAAUCCCAACCAGUACUGUUUCUUGCAAGAUCUGACUUAAAAAGUCCUAGCCCAGGCCCUAAAAGUCUAUUUGAUAUCUUACCUUGAAGUUCACCUUCUGAGACACUACUAAGAUUUGUCAUGGUGGUAUUCUUUCUUUUUCAUAAACAGGUAUUUCCAGUGAACUUCUAAGGAGUCAACAGUUGACAAACCAAAAGAUCCUACCAAGACCCAAUCAAGAUCCCUCCUUUACUGCAUACAUGAAGAUCUGGAGAAAUACAUUCCCCUGAGAUUUCUUGAUCCUCUAAAUUGGGAUCGAGGGAGUGUCUCUGACCUCAAGAUUGAGGUAUGACUUGAAUUGGGUCUGAGCUCCAAUUUUGUUUUGUCAAUUCACAAACAUUAUUUUCCCAGGGAGGGACAAAGAAGCAUUUUAGGCAUUUUUUUUAAAAAAGAAACAUUUUAGGAAUUAUUAACAUUUUAAAGAAGUAUUUUAAAUAUUAGAUAAAGAUUUAGGUAUCACAUAUUAUAUAAAGAAGACUUUUAGGAAUUAUUAAGUAGAAAAUUGCCUAUUUUUCUAACAACAUGUCUUAGUGUGUUCUCACACUGCUGUAAAGAGCUUCUCUGAGACCAGGUAAUUUAUAAAGGAAAGAGGUUUAAUUGACUCACAGUUCUGCAUGGCUGGGAAGGCCUCAGGAAACUUACAAUCAUGGCAGAAAGGGAAGCAGGCACCUCCUCACCAGUGGCAGGAGAAAGAGUACAAGCAGGGGAAAUGCCAGACAUUUAUAAAACCAUCAGAUCUCAUGAGAACUCACUUACUAUCAUGAAAACAGCAUGAAAGACACUUCCCCCAUAAUCCAAUCACUUCCCUCUCUCUACACAUAGGGAUUACAAUUCAUGAUGAGAUUUGGUUGGGGACACAAAGCCUAACCAUGUCACAACAUUUUGGAUCAUCUCUGUCUUUCUGUUACAAGUCUUUAAGACGAAGCCUAUAGAGAGAGGAGGUGCAUAGGCCAAGUGCGUCCAUCCCAAGUACUGAAGAAUUUAAAAGAUCAUAUCACGAUGGCAUUAUUUGGACAUAAUUUGCAUUGGGUCAGUUUUCUAAAACCUUAUACAUAUGCUCUGAGUGGAUGUAUUAAUAGUUUAUGUAUACCUUAAUAAAAUUGAUUUAAAGUAAACAUUUAAGGACUUUCCUGUGGCUUGUCUUUGUGUCCCUAGAAUUGGUUUAUUUAGUUUUGUCUGACCUGAGUUGGAGGGUUUUUUGGGCCCUGUAUUAGUCUGUUUUCAUGCUGCUGAUAAAGACAUACCUCAGACUGGGGAAUUUACAAAAGAAAGAGGUUUAUUGGUGUUACAGUUCCACAUGGCUGGGGAGGCCUCACAGUCACGGUGGAAGGCAAGGAGAAGCAAGUCACAUCUUAUGGGAUGGAAGCAGGCAAAGAGAGCUUGUGCAGGGGGACU